GCGUGUAUGGAAUGAACUGUCAGAAGAAGUGGUAGAGCUAUUUCCAGACUGUAUAUAGUGCAGAAACAGAGAGAGUUUCCAGCCAUGGAGAAGAACAAUACUACCGGUCAUUAAUAUAAGUUAGUCACAGACAUCAAAUAGAGGAUUCAGAAGGAACAUCUUUAUCUAGAGAAUGGUGAGAAUGUGGAACUCUAUCACAAGAGGGUGGCAUACAUCAUGACUACAGCUAGAUUAUUUGCAGCAGCGAUAUUCAGGAAAUGCAGAAAAAAAAUUGGAGAACAGUUAAUGAACUGAUUUACUGUCAACCACAGUGAUGCUAAUGAAAUGAUUUUUGCGACACACACA